UGGGGAAUAUUGCACAAUGGGCGCAAGCCUGAUGCAGCCAUGCCGCGUGUGUGAAGAAGGCCUUCGGGUUGUAAAGCACUUUCAGCGAGGAGGAAGGUGGUGAGCUUAAUACGCUCAUCAAUUGACGUUACUCGCAGAAGAAGCACCGGCUAACUCCGUGCCAGCAGCCGCGGUAAUACGGAGGGUGCAAGCGUUAAUCGGAAUUACUGGGCGUAAAGCGCACGCAGGCGGUUUGUUAAGUCAGAUGUGAAAUCCCCGGGCUCAACCUGGGAACUGCAUUUGAAACUGGCAAGCUAGAGUCUCGUAGAGGGGGGUAGAAUUCCAGGUGUAGCGGUGAAAUGCGUAGAGAUCUGGAGGAAUACCGGUGGCGAAGGCGGCCCCCCUGGACGAAGACUGACGCUCAGGUGCGAAAGCGUGGGGCAGCAAACAGGAUUAGAUACCCCUGGUAGUCCAGCGCUGUAAACGAUGUCGAUUUGGAGGUUGUGCCCUUGAGGCGUGGCUUCCGGAGCUAACGCGUUAAAUCGACCGCCUGGGGGAGUACGGCCGCAAGGUUAAAACUCAAAUGAAUUGAC
rnacentral:rRNA from 1 species